rnacentral:lncRNA from 1 species
AGAGAGUCAGGUGUCUGCAUGGGGGAGCAGCCUGACAUGCUGGUUCAAGCCUCAGCAGACGGAAUGGGGAGGGCACCCUUCUACGUGGGCAGCUUGGUGCACAGUUCUAGAUCCCACACAGAGGACUGUGAGGACAUCCACACAGAGGAAAGGCUCAGGGCCUGGUGUCAAGGCUCAUGCAGGGUGAGGAGGGCACUCAGAUGUGUGGCUGACACAGUGAGAGUAAUCAGAGAUCAAGCAGGGUAAAAUGUGCUCACAUGUAGGUAGCCCAGAGUGGUGGGUCAGAGCCAGGCAGGGUGAGGAGAGCAUCCCCACGCCACAGAGGAGGUCCAGUGUUGAGUGCUGGAGCCCAAGUGAGGUGUGGAGAGCAUCCAUCUGUGAGGGCUGCCUAGAAUGCAGUACUAGAGAAAAAGAUAUCCAUGGCAGUGUGGGCAAGCCAGCAGAAGGUGUUGGAGCUCAAAUAGGAUAAAGGGGGCAUCUAUGAUAGAAGCAACCAGGUGUGAAGUGUCAGAGACUUAAGAGUGCAAAGAGGAUGUCCAUGUGGGAGAGGGGCAGCAGUAGUGAUGAGAGAUUGGUUACAUACAGGGAGAUUGAUCAAAUAAUUUAAAUAUCUUAAAGCUGGUGAGACCCAGUUCCUCAAUGUCAAGAAAGAAGCCCUACAGUAUUGUUAGAAUUGGAGGCAUCUGUAUGAUGUCAUGGAUUUCAAUAGAUAUAGAAGUUUAAAUAGGAACGUGUAGGUAUGUAUAUACUAACGUUCUCUAAAUUUAUCCCCUGAAAAGGCGUGGGAGUGGUACUUUUCCCAAGGCAAUGAGCACACCUGGUGCUCAGAUCUUGGCUUCUAAGUACCACUUAGCACUAAAAGAAACCAGGGAUCCUUGAAGAAAUGGCCAAUUCCAGGGUUGGGGCAGGGAAAGUACAAGAUGAGCCUGGAACAUCUUGCUGUAGCAGAAAAGUAAAGAAGCGUUCAAAUAAUGAAGAUUUGUCAAUAGGCCACAGAAGCCAGUUGGCCACUGACCAAAUUAGAGACAGUCUGAGCAUCAAAAUAAUGACAAUAACAAGUAACAAAAUGUGGUCCCUGGACCAGCAGCACUAACAGUACCACUUGGAAACUUGUUCGAAAUGCACAUUCUCAGGUCUUACUCCAUAACUACAGAAUCAGGAACUCUAGAGAUGGGACCUGGCAGUCUUUGUUUUAACAAGCCCUCCAAAAGAUUCUGAUGCACACUCAAG